UACCUAGCUUUUAUAUUAGAGUUCUUCCAGGAAUUAUUAAAACUAAAAUUAUUAUCUAUGGGAAACAUAAAACUAAAGUCUAGGUAAGAGAAAGGCAUGAUAUAAAGUUUGAGCUACUGUUUAUCUUGUUCCUACUACACUAAGUUCUGGAGAUUUAUUUUGAAAACUUGCAAAUCACAUGAUGAGUUCCUAGCACAACAAACUUCCUACCACAGCCAUACUUGCUAUAACAUCUUUUACUAUAUUUACAUUGAGUUUGAUCGAGCUGUGUAGACCCUUAGGAGCUUUUCAUGUGGUUAAAUUAAGAUAUUCACUUGCACACAUCUACUACAUCCACCGACAUUCAUUAAAAUUGCUAAAAAUAUUAUCACUCACUGUCCCAAGUGUUGUUAUUCUCUCUCUCCAAAAAGAUUCAAUGCAGAAGAGGCAUGGGUUAUGCAAAAAUAUGCGAGGAAAUAAAAAGGGGCAAGUGCCUGGAACCUCGAAGAAAGAAAAAGAGUGAGACGAGAGGUAAAAAUGGACAAGUGUCCGGAGUAGAAUUAGGGGUACAAAGAUGCCCACUUGAGCAAAAAAAAAUGUACAAAGUGUCCGACAUUAGAGUUAGGGGUAUCUACUACCCACCUGAAAAAGAAAAAAGAAGAAGAAAAAGAUAGCCCAUGUUCUCCCAAAGCAAAGCUUAAAGAAGAGGAGAGAUAGCAAUAUGAGGAGCAAUGAGAAGUAAGUUUUAUCAUCACUUAUACACUUUCACCAUUACUAUCAUUUACUCCACCAUUUAAUUACAUGUUGAGUUCCUUUGGAUCCAUGGCUCGAUUAGACAAUAUAUGUAUGAGCUGUUUUUCACUCCUAUGAGCUCCACUUAAAUAUUCCAUUAGUUAUAGGUAAGUGACAUUUUUGGUAAGGAUCCACAAAUACCACAUAUAGAGAGACUUGAGAGAAUCAUUGCUGGGAACUCUGAGUUUUAUUUUUGUAAACUUAUACAAAACACCGGAACAAAGGUGAAGUAUAGACAGGAGGAAUAGUGCUUGACUUAAUUAUUUUGUCUUUCGAUUACUUAAGACUUGAGUGCAGGUACUAAGCUCCAUAACACUUCACUCUAAUCUAGAAGAAUUUUAUAUGAAAGCAUGUG
rnacentral:lncRNA from 1 species